rnacentral:sRNA from 1 species
AUAGUUUGUCCACUGGAGAACAAUAAAUUUUUAACUGAUUUUUGGAAACAGACGAAGUGCAAGGGCUUGCUCCGCCUCUGUCUCGUGUUGGCUCGGUAUAGCAAUACCGCCGGGAUUUGCUAUAUUCUU